CUUUCAUUUAUUCAGUCAUAUGGGUGAUGACUUCAAACGUAUAACACCCAAAUGGAGAACCCCAGUGAAAACCCCAAAAUUUUCUGCUAGGGUUCCGACUAUAUUCAUCAAUGGUGUCGAUUUCGAAAUCUCAGGUGUUGUAUUGAAGGAUAAUUGAAGAAGUGGAUAUUGUUUUCAACUAUGGGGGCAAAUGGGUAACUUCACCGGAGCUGGUGUAUAAUGAAAAAUUUCUGCACACCUGGUAUGGUAAAAAUACUUGUUUAAUUGAUUAUGAUGAUUUGUGUCAAGCUUUUACUUCGGAAUUAGGGUUUUGGGAAGUUAAACAAUUAUUGGUCACUGGUUCAUCCGGUACUUAUUAUAUAGUUGAAGACGAUGAUGGAAUCAGGACUCUUCAAUGCUUAUUUUCAAAAGACUUCAAGGUGAUAAACUUUUAUGCUGUAGAUGCCUAAGAUUUGAGAGUUUUUGCCAAAAAUAUCACAUACCACACCGAAUCAUAUCCUGUGGAUGUUAAAGCUGUCACUGAUUGUGAUUAUAGCGAUAGUGAAAAUGCUCUUUCUGAUUCUGUAGUGGGCAGCCAUAGUGCAAUUGAUGAAUAUAAUGCCGAAGUGCUUCAAUGUUAUGAACAUGGAAAAAGGAGAGUGGUGACUGAUAGGCUUGAAAAGUUUAAGGAAUUGGAAUUGGGUAUGACAUUUAGGACUAUUCAAGAAGCUAGGCAAGUGGUUAGCUUUUAUGCUAUGGAUAACAAGAAGAAAUUGAAAAAAAAAAAAAAAAGUGAUUCAGUAAGAAUUAGGUAUGUGUGUGAUGGUAUUGAUGAUUGUCCAUUUACUCUCCUCAUAUCAAAGGAUGCAAGUUCUGCUACUUAUAUGGUCAAAACAUUGGUAGACAAGCAUACUUGUGAUGAUUGCUUUGUCAAUCCAAUGGAAAAUUAUGCUGCAUUAGCUGCUUAUUUUAAACAGAAAAUUCAAAAUAAUCCAAGGUACUCUAUCAAAGACAUGAGAGGACAACUGGUAAAGGAUUUUAAGUUGAAUGUCUCAAAAGACAAGCUUAAAAGGGCCAAAACAAUGGCUCUUGAUAAGCUGGAAGCCAAAACUAUAAUAGGCUUGAAGCUUAUGGUCAGGAACUUAGGCAGUCCAAUCCAGGAACCGAUGUGGUAAUUAACAUCUCUAAAGAUGCACUUGAACAAGGUAAAAGAAGGUUUUUGAGAAUGUACAUUUGCUUCAAGGCUUUGAAGGAAGGAUGGAGAAGUUUGAGACCUCUAAUUGGUUUAGAUGGAACAUUUUUGAAAGGAAAAUGUAAGGGGCAACUAUUUGUAGCUACUGGCCAAGACUCAAUAAACCAUUUUUACCCACUAGCUUGGGCAGUAGUGGAAAAGGAAAACACAAGAACAUUGACUUGGUUUAUUCAGUUGUUGAAGAUUUCUUUGGAGCUUAAAAGUGGUGAAGCUAUGACAUUUAUCUCUGACAUGCAAAAGGGUCUGUUGGAUGCAGUAUCCAAUGUUCUUCCAGAAGCACAUCAUAGGUGGUGUAUGAGGCAUAUAGAAGCCAACUGGUGUAAGAAAUGGAGGUGUGGUGAAGAGAAAAAAUUGAAGUGGUGGUGUGCAUGGAGUACUUAUGAAGAAGAGUUCAAAGACACCUUGAAGGUGUUAGGAAAAGUGGAUGAAGAUUCAGUUAGUGAUCUUCUUCAUUUUCUUGCAAUUAAAUGGUGUAGGGCAUAUUUUGAUACUCAAUGCAAGAACCUAAUGGUGGACAAUAACUUUACUGAAUCUUUUAAUAGUUGGAUACUUCAAGCUAGACAAAAACCAAUCAUUAAAAUGCUGGAGGAAAUUAGGUUGAAGGUGAUGAAUAUGUUGGUGAAAAAUGAAGAGAUGGGCAGGAAUUGGCAAAAUGAUAUCAGUCCAGCAGCUAAGAAAUUGUACAAUGACUAUAGAUUAAUGGCUACCACUUGUACAAUUGAGUUUAAUGGAGAUUAUGGUUAUGGGGUGAAAGAUGGGGAGGACUGACAUACAGUGAAUUUGGAGUUGAAGAAAUGCACUUGUAGGCUAUGGGACUUGAGUGGAAUACCAUGUCACCAUGCCAUCAAGGCACUCAUGCACAAAAAAAUUGAUCCAUUGGAAGAGGUCCACUACUGGUAUAAAAAGAGGCUUAUCUAUUGACAUAUAAACAUAAAUUGCAGCCAGUAAGGGGUCCCUAAUUCUGGAAAAUAUAUCCUGCUCACGCAAUGGAACCUCCAGAAAUUGUCAAACUUGUUGGCAGACCCAAGACGAAAAGAAACAGAGAACCUGAUGAGGCAAGUUUGAGAAAACGGGCAUGGAAGAAGUCAAGAAAGGGAACUCUAAUGAGAUGCAACAAGUGUGGUGAUUUCAAUCACAAUGUAAGGGGAUGUUUAAAGGAGCAUGAAGGUGGUGAAAUUUCUCAAGGAAGAAAGAAGAAAACAAGCAGCCAAAGGUCUAGGAGUCAAGCUGGACAAAACUCUACACAAAGUGUCAAUUUAGAGUAUGAGGCAGAAACUGCAACCCAACAAUCUCAAACACAACAGUCGACUGCAUAUGGUCCUGAGAUUGGGAAUGAAGAAGAUCCACCAUUGAGGCCAAUGGUAAUUUCUGAGACACAAGCAAUGCUGGAAAGAAGGUCUCAAAGAGUUGCAGCAACAACAGGGAACAUGGAGAUUGCUUUUAAGGGGGAUGCCAGAGGAGUCUCUAUCCCUUCAGAUCUAUCAUAUUCACCAAAGAAGAUUACUUGGAAGGGUAAGGAAGCAGUCACUACCGGUCAGUUGCAAGCUGAAGCAAGGAAGAAAAAAAUGAAGCAACUAGCAGGGAAGGGCAAAUGUCCUGUGGGUCCAGAUGAUGAUCUUGUUUAGAAGUUAAUGUGUAGUUUAUGGUGUUUGACAUUAGGUGGUUAUUUUGGAUAGUGUCAUGUGAUUUAAAUCCAAACAAUUUCUUUUGCUACCAACCAUAAAGUAGGUAUUUGUGGUUGGUUUAACCACCUGAAGGUUAAACUACUUUUGUUCGGAACUGUUGCACUAAUUUGAAGUUAGACUGUCAUCUGAA